rnacentral:snoRNA from 1 species
AUGCAUCUCUUUGACAGACCUGGAGAAGUUAUGCCUGCUUUUAGGGUUUCCACUAAGAUGCAAAAAAAAUUUUCGUCAUGCUUUUUCUCUGCCUAAUUGUGACAGUCUAGAUUGAAUAGGGUAACUGAACA